AUUGAACGCUGGCGGAAUGCUUUACACAUGCAAGUCGAACGGCAGCGUAGGUGCUUGCACCUGAUGGCGAGUGGCGAACGGGUGAGUAAUACAUCGGAACGUGCCCAGUCGUGGGGGAUAACGUAGCGAAAGUUACGCUAAUACCGCAUACGAUCUAAGGAUGAAAGCGGGGGACCGUAAGGCCUCGCGCGAUUGGAGCGGCCGAUGUCAGAUUAGGUAGUUGGUGAGGUAAAGGCUCACCAAGCCGACGAUCUGUAGCUGGUCUGAGAGGACGACCGGCCACACGGGGACUGAGACACGGCCCAGACUCCUACGGGAGGCAGCAGUGGGGAAUUUUGGACAAUGGACGCAAGUCUGAUCCAGCCAUUCCGCGUGCAGGACGAAGGCCUUCGGGUUGUAAACUGCUUUUGUACGGAACGAAAAAGCUCUUACUAAUACUAGGAGUCCAUGACGGUACCGUAAGAAUAAGCACCGGCUAACUACGUGCCAGCCGCCGCGGUAAAAC
rnacentral:rRNA from 1 species